rnacentral:rRNA from 1 species
UACGGGGGGGGCAAGCGUUGUUCGGAAUUACUGGGCGUAAAGGGCUCGUAGGCGGCCAACUAAGUCAGACGUGAAAUCCCUCGGCUUAACCGGGGGAACUGCGUCUGAUACUGGAUGGCUUGAGAUUGGGAGAGGGAUGCGGAAUUCCAGGUGUAGCGGUGAAAUGCGUAGAUAUCUGGAGGAACACCGGUGGCGAAGGCGGCAAUCCUGGACCGAGAUUGACGCUGAUGCGCGAAAGCCAGGGGAGCAAACGGGG